rnacentral:misc_RNA from 1 species
UUUCCGUAGGUGAACCUGCGGAAGGAUCAUUCAUAAUAAAGUGUUUUAUGGCACUUUUUAAAAAUCCAUAUCCACCUUGUGUGCAAUGUUAGAUCUCGUCAAUGUUGGCGAGAUUUUUAUACAUCAACUCAUUCUUUAACUAAUUUGUCUGAAAAAUAUUAUGAAUACUUAAUUCAAAAUACAACUUUCAACAACGGAUCUCUUGGCUCUC